rnacentral:rRNA from 1 species
CGUAGGCGGUCUUUUAAGUCAGGUGUGAAAGCCCGGGGCUCAACCCCGGAAGUGCACUUGAAACUAAGAGACUUGAGUAUGGGAGAGGGAAGUGGAAUUCCUGGUGUAGCGGUGAAAUGCGUAGAUAUCAGGAGGAACAUCAGUGGCGAAGGCGACUUCCUGGACCAAUACUGACGCUGAGGCGCGAAGGCGUGGGGAGCAAACA